AAGCUCGUAGUUGAAUUUCGGGGUUAGUAGGUUGGUCAUGCCUCUGGUAUGUACUGGUCUCACUGAUUCCUCCUUCCUUAUGAACCGUAAUGCCAUUAAUUUGGUGUUGCGGGGAAUUUGGACUGUUACUUUGAAAAAAUUAGAGUGUUUAAAGCAAGCUAACGCUUGAAUACAUUAGCAUGGAAUAAUGAAAUAGGACGUUCGAUCUUAUUUUGUUGGUUUCUUAGGAUUGACGUAAUGAUUAAUGGGAUAGUUGGG
rnacentral:rRNA from 1 species